UGCAUGGGAACAUUAAAGCUAUGCAGGAUAUUUCCACCAAACACCAGAGAAUCUACUGGAGUAUAAACCGCAUGUAUCCACCCUGAAGGAAUGAAGAAUGUAUAGCCUUGUUUCAGUUCAAUUCUUUGGCAUCGUUCCACUCUGUCUCCCAGAAAGAUAUCACUUUGCUUUCCUGAGAGAACCCAUUCUUCAUAAAGUUCUAGAUUCUGCAGAGUAGGUGGAAUCAGCCAGAAGAUCUUCCCCCCACGGAAAACGUGAUACCACACUGAAGUGCCUCCAAAAUCAAUAUGGAAAUCAGUGAAGCAUCCUUUCACACUCAUCAAACAGUACCUCUUUUCCUUGUUCCGGUCUCCGUU
rnacentral:lncRNA from 1 species